UCGAGGAUCUUCGGCAAUGGGCGCAAGCCUGACCGAGCGACGCCGCGUGUGCGAUGAAGGCCUUCGGGUUGUAAAGCACUGUCGAGGGGGAGAAAGCCCGCAAGGGUUGAUCGACCCCGGGAGGAAGCACGGGCUAAGUUCGUGCCAGCAGCCGCGGUAAGACGAACCGUGCGAACGUUGUUCGGAAUCACUGGGCUUAAAGGGCGCGUAGGCGGGCUCGUCAGUCUGUGGUGAAAGCCCCCGGCUCAACCGGGGAAGUGCCGCGGAUACUGCGAGCCUCGAGGGAGGUAGGGGCAUGUGGAACUUCCGGUGGAGCGGUGAAAUGCGUAGAUAUCGGAAGGAACGCCGGUGGCGAAAGCGACGUGCUGGACCUCUUCUGACGCUGAGGCGCGAAAGCCAGGGGAGCAAACGGGAUUAGAUACCCCGGUAGUCC
rnacentral:rRNA from 1 species